CUUUAUUCUCAAUCUUGAAGACAGCACAAGAGAAACACUUUACCCUUUAAUACUUUAAAAUCUUCUACUUUCACUGCCAGGGAUUUUUCUCUUUUAAAUGUAGAAUGAAGAAUUGACUACAAUCAUAUCAUUUUGGAUAACAUUUAAUGAACUGGUCUCUAGAGUACAAGAGAUGGCUUUUCUCAGAUUAUAAACACACUGACACGUGAAUAUAAUCUGAACCCUGAGAUCAGUACAAGAAUUUAAAUGUGCCUAUAUUUGGAGAUUAUUUUCUACACCUUGUCCUAUAAUUUUAGAUUAGCAUAGAUUACAGAGGAGAGAAGACUCCAGGAAAUCACACAGAAGAAGCUUGUUUGAUACUGCCAGACUUUUUUAUUGUGCAUCCAUGUACCAAGAUUAUGAAGAAAACAUGGAUAUAUUUGCCUUAUCGAAAUAACAAUGUUUACUGAUAUUUACCCUAAAUUUCAACUGUUGCUCUUUUUUAUGAUAUAGGGCUCAAUUUAGACUAUACCUUGUAUUUGGUUCAAUCAUCUUUUAAAAAAGAUCAUCAUCCUUGUAAUCAUAAACCACAAUUACCCUACUAUCCAUUGUAAAUAUCUAAGCAAAAUAUUAAGAUACUGUUUUAAUGGAGAUAUGGCAGUGCCAAUGUUUUUGGCAGUACUGAGCAUCUGAA
rnacentral:lncRNA from 1 species